UUUUAAUAGCCCGCCCACGUCAGUUUCCAUCAACGUCGCAUAAGUGUUACUGCGUAGUAAAUUUUUUCGUUCUUUUUGUUCUUUUUUUUUCAAGUUUGUAUCUAAUUUUGAGUAGUGUUUCGUGAAAAUAUUGUUGUACAGUGAAAAUGGAAGAUGAAAUCAGUUGUGACGAUCCACAAUUUAUGACAAUGUUGGAAACCUGUCUACUCAUGGAGAUCGAGACAUGCAAGAAUACGUUUUCUGAACUUGUAAGGCAGAUAAAAGACUUUAAAAUUAAAGUGAAGAUGCAAUUGCAAACGAGGAAAGAAUUGAAAGAAAACACAAAGAAUACCCAAGAAAAUAUUCUAAUUUUAAGUAACUCUCUGAGCAAGUAUGUAGGAAAUAAUGACUUUUACGGAAAUAUAUCAAUCACAUUAUACAAUUUCAUCAUAUUUGAAAAUAUCUUUAACAGAGAAAGGAAUUAUAUGAUUGAAAUUUCAAAUAAAAUCGAGUUAAUGAAGCUUAAUUUGGACAACGAUUAUAAAAUUAUGAAAGUGAAUUGUGAAUUUUAUGAAAAUAUAUACAACGACUACGAAAAAGUGUGGGAAUCGUAUCACGCAAAAUAUGAAGAGUUCCCCUUGGCCAAGGACAGAAGAGAGGCGAAAAUAAAAAUGGAAAAGGUUCAAAUCGACCAGAUGGUCCUGGAAUACAAAGUUAAAGAAUUCGAGAAGAUUUUGAAGCAAAAGCAACGGAUCGCUUGGCUCAGAAUGCGCGCAAAAAUCGUUCUACUUGCGCGUGCAGUUUUAAAUUAUACUAAAUUAGUCGAAACGUUGAAAGAUCUUGAUAGAAAUAUCGAGAAACGCAAGGAGGAGUUGAACACGAUCGAAACGGAGGUAGCCAUGCGAUUGAAGAAACAAGAGGAAGAGAAGAGGGAUCGAGCGUUGAAACUGCUGGAAAUGCCACCGCCAAAGAUUAAUUUCUCCCACAUGCGCACGAUUUACGGUCCUAGGCCGGGAAUCGGCUUCCCAGACGGUUGGAAAAGAAAUUAUGAGAAUUCCAUAGAUACUUUAUCGGUGGACACCCUGAUGUUGGAAGAAAUGUGUUUAACUGAAGAAAAUUCCAUGCAACCACCAUCCAAUAUUGAAGCCCAAAAAGAUCAGAAUCUUUCUUAUGAGGAGCCGGUCGAUUCAAGAAAUUCUCCACUGGACCAAGAAGCGGAGAACGAAGAUGCGGCCAGCGAAAUGGAUGGAAAUAUAGGGUCAGAGCCGAUCGAUGAUGCAGUCGAGGGGGAAAUGGAAGAACAACGAAUGGGCCAGGAACUGGAGCACGUAGACCAGUCGUCUGGUCUUUCCAAAGAUAAGCAAACGGACCAAUGUUGCAAAGAUCUUGAAAAGGAUGAACCGGUGGCAAAGAAAAUGAAGUUGAUUUCUCACAGCGCAGGGAAACUCGUGGCAUCGCCGAUGAAGGGUAUUCCAUUAGAGAGGACGAAGAGCUGUUCGGUCGAACCACCUCCACGUCCAAGAAUCUCGAGAAUCGAGACGUUUCAUUACACUGUGCCGAUUAAAAAAAUUGAAAAAUUCCCAAGAGAAAUUCAAAUUCCAUUGGUGAAUCAAUCUCCUGGAUCAAUGAUAACGAAGGAGUCUUCUGUACGGAACCAGAAUAAUCCUAAUCCUUCCAGUAUGUUCACUCCUGGUCACUAUGAUUAUUCUGAUAACAGUGAAAUAAGUUUCUGUAUCGAUGAGAACAUGGCCGAAUUGAAAGCUGAUCAAAUAUCGCUGUACGGUGGAUCUGUUCGAAAUUUUUGCGAGUGUCCCAAUUUAUCACCUAUCAAUGAAAAUAUAAAUCUGGAGGGGAACGAAAACGUUCCAUCGACUAGCAACACUCGUAAUUUUUCACAAUUUGAGAAAAAAUUCGACUUCAGUAAUAUUCUGAAAGGCAGUUCCAGCGGAAGAAAUCUCUUCUAAAUCUGAAUCUUGAUCGAAGAGGAUCGAUAAUUAUUUAAGAAACGUGUACUUCUUGUAAAAAAAUCUCAUUUCGAUGAAAUAAAAUCGCGUGAAGCGAAGAACGAAUGAGAUAAUUUCUCUCUUGGAAUGGUAUAAUAAGACUGGUUCAUUUUUCGUCCAGAGUGAAUAAUAUUCGAGCGAAAUUACGCAUAGCCGUAAUUCUCACUCUCGACAGUCGGUGGAAAGCGUUGGUGGUAGCUCGGUUCCAUCCUAAGAAGCCGGGAAAAGGAAACGUGAAAGACGUAGACGGGGGUAGAAAAGAGGCACACGCCAGGCUGGAGAGAGAGAAAGGAAGAGCACUCGGCUCGACGACUGGAAAAGUCGAGCCUGUUUUUCUUUCCGGUUCGAAGUUCCAGCAACUACGUGACUGGAAUCUGGCCUUGCCAUUGACACGUCAUUCUUUCCCAGUCGCUGGAACCGGAAGUUCUCUAGCCUGGAUUACUCGCGAGACCCCUCUAACAGCUUCAUCGAAUCCACCGAGUGCACAUCGACUUCACUGUUUUACCAGCAGUCCGUGUUCCUUUUUUUCCCUUCUUCAUCAUCGAUGGACGUAAAAAGAGUGCGGAAUAACGUCUGAAUCAGUAUACAACAUUCUAUAAUCUGGAUACGACCAUUUUCUUUCGUAUCUCGUUACGAACUCUCGAUUGGCCAGUUGGAGAGGAAUAGGAGAGUUUGCGGAGAAAGGAGAAGGCGCGAGGAAAAAUAUUUACCUGUUUGUUCGAUGUAGAAGGAAGGAAAACAAACGGAGAAAUUAACGACACGACUUUUCGUCCAAUCUUUUCAUCGAUUUACUUUUUAAAAUUAGUAGUUGGGAUGGAUAGCGAUGAUGGAAGAAACGUCUCACUUCUUUUUCGCCAGAUAUCGAAGAAACAAUGGAACAUGAAUGAAGAAGGCAACGAGAUUACACGUUAACCUAGUUUCCAGUAAAACUGGGCCACAGGCCAUCUUCUAUAUCGUGUACAGUCAAUCGUAAAAGAUUUGAAGGAAAUUCAGCUAGCUUGAGAAAAUCUAUACGAUAUACGUAUAUCGAGAUAUGCAUGGCUGAUUCGUGAAAUCAAUCUUUGAAUUUUAUCAUACCAUCUCAACUCAGGAACGAAGGUGACUACGAAGACUACUACCAGUGUAAAAAGGAACAACCACGUACGAUAAAAUCUUGACUCGAAAAGUUAGGUUAGAUUAGAAGCGUAUCUUGCAAUAUGGAAAGUUUAAACAUGACUGGCGCUUUAGAAAUUAUCAAUCGUACGUAUGGAAGUAUCAUCACCGCGUGGUUAGAAUUGGUCGACGGAUGAAAAGCCACGAAUAAUUAAACUCCAAUUAACGUAGCACGCCCCAACGAGGCGAAACGAAACGAGAGAAAUGAAAUACCUUCGCAUUCGUUUCACGUUUCAACGGGAGCCCACGGUUCAACUUACAGUUGCACCCUUUCCCCAACCCUUGCCCUGGUGCACACGAUACUAAACGCCGUUCUAUCGAUCUCGCCAUGUUUCCCAUUACCGCAAAACCGCCGCCAGCAUAAAGCAACCGCGUUUCCUCUUAUUGUCUCCACGCGACCGCCCGACAACCGCCAUGGAAAACACCCUACGCGAUUAUAAAUGCGACACUGGCUGCCUUAAUAUUCGCACGUGUUACGGAUUAAACGAAGUGAAGGGGAAUUCACGACUCUUGGCAGGAGUGCUGGAGAAAACGAGAUAUUUUUGCGAGGAUGUCUUGAAGGAUAUUACUGUGAAAAGUAGAUAGAACGAUGAAGGGAUGUUAACUGCUAACAAUUUCGAAGAAAUGUUUUUUUUGACGAGAAACGUGUACUGUAUGUAGAGAGAUUUGAAGGCGUAGAAUAAAUGAAGACGUUGAUGGAAGGUAAUUUACGCGUCUGGAAAUUCUAUGGGAUGCCACGUCCUCGUUGAAAAUCGUUGCUAGAUUACGGAAUUAAUCUAGCAUUCAUUGACAAACAAAUUACCAACUAUUAUUAUCAACCAUACUGCUCCAUAUUGUAUUAAAAUCAACAUUUACUUGACGGAUUUCCAAUUUAUAAUUCUAUUACCAGAAAAUUAUAAAUUUA